rnacentral:lncRNA from 1 species
CAGGAAAAAUGGCUCCCCAAUAGCCGGCAUAGCCGGGUCUUUAUUCGCAGUUUCUGCUAUCGUUUGUCAGGGACUCUGCCAACUUUCCUCUCUACUCUUUUCUGUAUAUUCAUCAGUGAGAGAGCUGGUGUGAAAAUUCUCCAUCAUCGCAGAAAGUUCUAAUGGACAGUGCUGCUCCCAACAGAAAGAAUGGCAAAUACACAGGUCCUGAAGAGGCGGACAACAGAAGAAGUAACAAGGAGGAAGAUAAGAUGGAGUCAGACUUCAAGGAGGAAAUUGGAGAAAAUGCAUUUAAGAGAAAGAAAAAAUGAGGAUCAAUCAGGCUGAAGUGAAUAGUUACAAUUUGCCUACAGCCCGGCAUAACUACUAUCAUGAUCUAACUAUGGGGAAAAAUGUUUUAAAGUACAAUUUUCACAUAAAUCAAGUAGCACAUGAAGAGGAAAAAUAAACCUAAUAUUGCCUUUAGGAGUAUCCGCAUAUUAGUGAAGGACUAUGUAAA